UUCUGAACAUUUUCCUGAGGUAAUUUAUUUUUACCAUUAUUUGAAAUAAUGAAUUACAAUGUGGAGUUUUUAUUCUCUAUACUCCAUUGUGGAGAGAAAGGGGGGCUUUUAUUAUCUAAACCAGCAAUCACUGGCCAUUUGUGUUACAAUUUGUGUAUUUUCAGACAAUGACUAGUUUCUCUGUGUUUUUUUGUCAGUUUUGAGCAGUUUUCCUGAGGUAAUAUAUUUACCAUUAUUGUAAUUAAUGGAUUCACAGUGUGAUGUUUAUUCUCUAUACACCAUUUUAUUAUAAUUUUCAGACAAUGACUAGUUUCUCUGUGUUUUCUGUCAGUUUUAAGCAGUUUUCCUGAGGUAAUAUUUUUGCCAUUAUAGUAAUUUACAAUAUGAUGUUUAUUCUCUAUAUACCAUUGUGGAGAGAAAGGGGGGCUUUUAUUAUUUAAACCAGCAAUCACUUGCCAUUUGUGUUACAAUUUGUGUAUUUUCAGACAAUGACUAGUUUCUCUGUGUUUUCUGUCAGUUUUGAGCAGUUUUCCUGAGGUAAUAUUUUUUUAACCAUUAUAGUAAUCAAUGGAUUUACAAUGUGAUGUUUAUUCACUAUACACCGUGGGGGUCUAUGUAUUUAUGGAGAUGUUUUGCUUUUCAUGCUGCAAUAAAC